GACGAACGCUGGCGGCGUGCUUAACACAUGCAAGUCGAACGAUGAAGCCUUUCGGGGUGGGAUUAGUGGCGAACGGGUGAGUAACACGUGGGUAAUCUGCCUUGCACUCUGGGAUAAGCCUGGGAAACUGGGUCUAAUACCGGAUAUGACUACUUCACGCAUGUGGGGUGGUGGAAAGUUCUGGCGGUGUGAGAUGAACCCGCGGCCUAUCAGCUUGUUGGUGGGGUGAUGGCCUACCAAGGCGACAACGGGUAGCCGGCCUGAGAGGGCGACCGGUCACACUGGGACUGAGACACGGCCCAGACUCCUACGGGAGGCAGCAGUGGGGAAUAUUGCACAAUGGGCGAAAGCCUGAUGCAGCGACGCCGCGUGAGGGAUGACGGCCUCGG
rnacentral:rRNA from 1 species